GAAUGAUUUUUUUUGUUGUUGUUGGGGGAAAGGGUAUUUCUACAAGUUACCUCAAAAAGAACAUGCAUAAAUACAGUUCACACGUGAGAGAGAAUUUUUAUGAUUCUGUGUGUGUUUAUUUUUUUUAAUACAUUUUGCUGUAGUUUUAUAUACUCUGGACCAAAGUAGUGACAAAAGGUGAAAUAUUGGGAUCAAGACUUCUGGCACUUCUGUGUUUCAGUGUAAACCACGUCUUGUUUUAUUUAUUACUUGCUGAGGUGCCUGAACAGAACAGUGACUAGGUCAUAAGAAGAGAGAGUUGUGACUGUUGAGGCUGUGUGAUGCUGAGGUCUUGGCUGCUGGAAAACUCAGCAGUGUGUUACUAGUUCAUUGUUUAACAUCUGAUUUGGGCUUCUCUCUAAAUUCAAUUGUAAUGUAUCUUGUGUCAUAUACAUGUCUCAGAGAAAUGUUAAUGCUAUUCAGUAAGGGAUACAUCCAGAGAGGGUGAAAUAUUAAAAAGAAAAUAUUCCAAAUACUUUGUGCUGCUGUAACAACAUAACUGUCCAAGAAUUGUCCUCUGUAGAGGUUCUAGGGACCCACCCAUUGCCAUUUGCGAAUAUUUUCCUUGACUUUGUCACUGAUAACUAAACCUGUGUUGUACACAGGAAGAGAAGUACCAGCAAUAAGCUUGUACCCGUGAUGAAGUCUUUUGCUGGAUUCUGUAGGCUUUGUUGUUGUAGUUGUGGUCAAUAUUUCAGAGAUUCGAUUACAAACUAAUGCAUGUUUCUUCUCAGUUGUUUCAGAUAGCUCUGGGUUAGAGAUUUUAUCUCAUAAAUCAUCAGUCAAGAUGAAAGAAAAUGUAUGAAUUGUUCAAGGUGACAAGGAGGAAAAACAGGAUACCAGAUCAAUAAAACAUUCUCUUGCUAGCAGGGCAAGACAGAGAGGGGGAGAGCCCUGCGCCAAUAAGAUAUAUUUUGCCAAUCCUUUGUUACGUAAAUUCAGAAAGCAUUGUUCUCCUUCUAUUCAAACUCAUACUGUGAAAACUGGAGCCUGGAGAUUAAGGAGACACUAUACCUAAAUGUAGAAAAGUAGUUUUCUAAAUGGCCUCUCUAGUUUUUUACAAGUGUUUUGUCACAUUUCUCUUAGCUGUUUUAUGCAAAGAUAUUGUUAACAUAGCUGGAAUAGAUUCAGAGCAUUUUCUAAUGAUUAUUGCCAGGUGCAGGUGAUCUGAAUUGAGGCAGGUGACUGUAAAAAUGCAAGAUUAUUUUUGGCUUCCAGAUGUUUGCCUUGAUUACUUGCCUUGAUUUGAGAAGGGUAUGAUGGCAACCUUUUUAUUCAGUAGUGCUUUUGAUUUAUUUAUUUUUUUGUCUUUGAUCACUAAACAUACAAGUUAAUUCAAAGUGGUUGGGGAAAAGGCAUUUGAGGUGGUAUGGAUGUGUAGGGAACCUGUAAGAUUUUUCUGAGAAUACUUAAAGGGGGAAGUGUAACUUCUUGCAAGAUGUUUUGUGAAUAUCACUUUAAGUUACACAGUUGAGGUACAUUUUGGGUAUUGCAUAGUAGCAAGGCCAGUGAAAAUUUAACGCAGUUUAGCUAUUUUUACAAUUAUGAACUUUGUUCCUGACGAUAAGAUCAAUAUGAAUAGCAUCUGGCUUAACACCUGUUGCCAGUUUCUUUGUAAGUGAACAGACACGUCCCUGCUUGUAAGACACUGCCCUGAUUUAACACUUGUUUGAACUAUUGUUCAGAAUACUGCUUAAGACAGCUACUAAAUCACAUUGAUCCAGUUUAGGGGAAGAACUUUUUUUAUUUAUACAUCAUGGUGGGAAAAUGUAUGGAAUUCUGUUACUUGCCAUUAAGAAACUCUGAGAUCAGGCUAGAUGAUCAUGCUUUAGUUUUAAGACAUUAUUUCUAAAACUGAACGUUUGUAACAGUGCCUUUAGAAUAUAAGGUGGGAAAGUGCAGCCUAGUUGUUAGUAACUGUUAGAGCUUACAUAAAAUGCCAUUCACAGCUUCAGGUAUCUCCAAAGAAAUGCAUUCCUGGAGUCUCUAAAUGCUGUGGUGGGACAUGGAUGAAGAGUGCUGGUAUUCAUUUGAAGAGCUUAGCAUAUAUUUUAAACUAAAUAUCCUUGCAAUGCUUUAAUGGCCCUUUUUCCCCCCUUUUGUGCUCUGUGUCCUUAACGUAUCAGCAGUCACAAAUGCACUUUAUAUAGGAUUGUGGGACAAACAUAAAUAGGAAAUUGGUAGCUUUGCAUUCAAGUUUUACAGUACAGACAGACAGCUGGCAUUGCUAUGCAGGAGAUUGGGUUGAAUGGGUGCUUUUAGGAAAUACUUGAUUGUCUUAGUACAGGUGGUAAAUUGUUUGCCUGCCUUCUAUUCACUGAGGAGGGUGAAAAGAAGCUGUAUGCUCUGAUAUCUAAAACCUUACUCCUUACAUUGUGUGGUGUUUAACAUGCAAUAUGGAGAAAGGAUUCUGAGUUUCAUCUUUUUUUUUUUUUUUUUCCUCUAUUUACACAAAGUUUUGGAAGCAUUUCACUUUCCUAAAGUUUGCUAGUAGCCUUCAGACUAAUGGGAAGAGCAAUCACUGUGCUCUAAAAUGAUUAACAUCUGUUAAUGGUCUAGUUUUAUAUUGGUUAGGAAUUUAGCAUCUGACAAUCAUGUUUCUGAGGGUUUUAAAAUCCAUUUGUCCAUCUUUUUUGGAAAACUUCCUCCUGGGCCGAGUUAGCAGGGUUCUUCCAUUGAGAUGAGUCAUAAUGUAAUAGAGUUUUGCCAGUUUAAUUUAAAAUAGGGGAAGG